UACCAUUACAGAUGGAAAAAGGUACCACUAU
rnacentral:piRNA from 1 species